rnacentral:rRNA from 1 species
UGAAGAGUUUGAUCAUGGCUCAGAUUGAACGCUGGCGGCAGGCCUAACACAUGCAAGUCGAACGGUAACAGGAAGCAGCUUGCUGCUUUGCUGACGAGUGGCGGACGGGUGAGUAAUGUCUGGGAAACUGCCUGAUGGAGGGGGAUAACUACUGGAAACGGUGGCUAAUACCGCAUAACGUCGCAAGACCAAAGAGGGGGACCUUCGGGCCUCUUGCCAUCAGAUGUGCCCAGAUGGGAUUAGCUUGUUGGUGAGGUAACGGCUCACCAAGGCGACGAUCCCUAGCUGGUCUGAGAGGAUGACCAGCCACACUGGAACUGAGACACGGUCCAGACUCCUACGGGAGGCAGCAGUGGGGAAUAUUGCACAAUGGGCGCAAGCCUGAUGCAGCCAUGCCGCGUGUAUGAAGAAGGCCUUCGGGUUGUAAAGUACUUUCAGCGGGGAGGAAGGUGUUGUGGUUAAUAACCGCAGCAAUUGACGUUACCCGCAGAAGAAGCACCGGCUAACUCCGUGCCAGCAGCCGCGGUAAUACGGAGGGUGCAAGCGUUAAUCGGAAUUACUGGGCGUAAAGCGCACGCAGGCGGUCUGUCAAGUCGGAUGUGAAAUCCCCGGGCUCAACCUGGGAACUGCAUUCGAAACUGGCAGGCUUGAGUCUUGUAGAGGGGGGUAGAAUUCCAGGUGUAGCGGUGAAAUGCGUAGAGAUCUGGAGGAAUACCGGUGGCGAAGGCGGCCCCCUGGACAAAGACUGACGCUCAGGUGCGAAAGCGUGGGGAGCAAACAGGAUUAGAUACCCUGGUAGUCCACGCCGUAAACGAUGUCUACUUGGAGGUUGUGCCCUUGAGGCGUGGCUUCCGGAGCUAACGCGUUAAGUAGACCGCCUGGGGAGUACGGCCGCAAGGUUAAAACUCAAAUGAAUUGACGGGGGCCCGCACAAGCGGUGGAGCAUGUGGUUUAAUUCGAUGCAACGCGAAGAACCUUACCUGGUCUUGACAUCCACGGAACUUUCCAGAGAUGGAUUGGUGCCUUCGGGAACCGUGAGACAGGUGCUGCAUGGCUGUCGUCAGCUCGUGUUGUGAAAUGUUGGGUUAAGUCCCGCAACGAGCGCAACCCUUAUCCUUUGUUGCCAGCGGUCCGGCCGGGAACUCAAAGGAGACUGCCAGUGAUAAACUGGAGGAAGGUGGGGAU